UACGUAGGGUGCGAGCGUUAAUCGGACUUACUGGGCGUAAAGCGUGCGCAGGCGGUUUUGUAAGCCAGGUGUGAAAUCCCCGGGCUUAACCUGGGAAUGGCAUUUGGGACUGCAAGGCUGGAGUGUGGCAGAGGAGACUGGAAUUCCUGGUGUAGCAGUGAAAUGCGUAGAUAUCAGGAGGAAUACCGAUGGCGAAGGCAGGUCUCUGGGCUGACACUGACGCUCAUGCACGAAAGCGUGGGGAGCAAACAGG
rnacentral:rRNA from 1 species